UCUCUUAUGCGCCGUCAAGCCCUAACCUUUCUGGUCUCGUCCACCCACCCAACUUAGCUGAUGGACGCCGCCGCCACAGCAGCGAUGCAUUCCUGCCGGAGCCAGUGAGAGCUACCUCUCUGCAAAUGGCUGAAACCCCGAGCAGAAGAUCUCAGAAAACCCCCAAAUAGCAGAAGGCGCCGCCACCGUCCAUCUCAGAUUCAUCGCCCUCGUGCCAUGUCCUCCCACCUACCCCUCAAACCCUAGACUCCUCACCUCGCUGCCGCUCUCUCCGACUGACCUCCACCCCUCAAACCUCAACACCGCCUCCAGCGCCGACCUCUACCCGCAACUCCUCCGGCCGAAAGUCUCUCAAGUUCGCUUCUCAAAGUGAUUAGAAAACCCCACUUGGCCACUUCCAACCAAAGAGAGAGGGAUGAGGAGGAAGAUGGGGACUAUGUAGAAUCCAAGAUGUUACUAGAUUGGAAUCCAUGUUUGGCAAAGUACUCAACUUUCGGUGGUCUGAACUCUCUUCUUCACCGCUAAGGGCCAUAAUGAGAUUGUGGCAUUGUUUCUUGAUAAUGGAGUUGAUGUGAAUUCCUGGAAUUACUGUGGGCAGCUCUCCUCGGGCUUCAAUUAGAAGCAUGGAUCAGAAGAUCAUUAUUUGGGAUCUACAACAUUCGUUGCCUUGAUGCACAUGUGAACAUGAGGUUUGUUCCAACUACUAUACAUGAGUUGAUGAUGAUGGAGAUGAAGAUGGAGAUGGUACUGAAGGAGCAGUAGGUGGUGCAUUUAAAAGAACUUCUGUUAAUUUUACUCAAUUUUGUAGUUAUCCAAUUGUUUUGCUUUCAGAUUUUAUAAUUGUGUGAUAUUCAUUUGAUGCAUGCAUUUUAUACUGGUUCAGAGGAUGGUAUUAUAAUAUUGUUAUAUUGUAUAUCCAUUUCUAAAUCUAACAUCUUUUGUGAAACUUUAAUUCGCCAUUCACAAGAUGCUGAUCAGGUAGUAGAUAGAUCUAUCAGUGCUGCUUGUGUUUUUUCAAUAAUAUAAUGUGGAUAUUUUUAUUUAUUUUCUCCUAUUUCAACCUU